rnacentral:rRNA from 1 species
GACGAACGCUGGCGGCGUGGAUUAGGCAUGCAAGUCGAACGGUAUCAUCCUUUCGGGGGUGAGAGAGUGGCGAACUGGUGAGUAACACGUAGGUUAUCUACCCUCAAGACGGGGACAACCCAGGGAAACUUGGGCUAAUACCGGAUGUGAGCAACUUUUAGUUGUUUGAAAGGUGGCGUAAGCUGUCGCUUGGGGAUGAGCCUGCGUCCUAUUAGUUAGUUGGUGAGGUAACGGCUCACCUAGGCAAUGAUAGGUAGGCGGCCUUAACGGGUGGUCGCCCACACUGGGAUUGAGAUACGGCCCAGACUCCUACGGGAGGCAGCAGUCGAGAAUAGUCUACAAUGGUCGGAAGACUGAUAGUGCGACGCCGCGUGAACGAUGAAUCCCUUCGGGGUGUAAAGUUCUUUUAUAUGUGAGCAGUGCUUCUUAUAUUAACAGUAUGGGGAAGAGAUAUUAGCAUAUGAAUAAGCAACGGCUAACUCCGUGCCAGCAGCCGCGGUAAACU